rnacentral:rRNA from 1 species
AACGGCCGUACCAUGCUGAAUAUACCGGUUCUCGUUAGAUCACCGAAGUCAAGCAUCAUUGGGCGCGGUCAGUACUUGGGUGGGUGACCACCUGGGAACACCGCGCGCCGUU